UGUGUAGGCGGUGCUCUAAGUUCGGUGUGAAAUCUCCCGGCUUAACUGGGAGGGUGCGCCGGAAACUGGAGUGCUUGAGCGUGGGAGAGGAAAGCGGAAUUCCUGGUGUAGCGGUGAAAUGCGUAGAUAUCAGGAGGAACACCUGUGGUGUAGACAGCUUUCUGGACCAUAGCUGACGCUGAGACACGAAAGCGUGGGUAGCAAACA
rnacentral:rRNA from 1 species